CAGGACGAACGCUGGCGGCGUGCUUAACACAUGCAAGUCGAACGGGGUGUUUAUUUCGGUAAACACCAAGUGGCGAACGGGUGAGUAACGCGUAAGCAAUCUACCUUCAAGAUGGGGACAACACUUCGAAAGGGGUGCUAAUACCGAAUGAAUGUAAGAGUAUCGCAUGAGACACUUACUAAAGGAGGCCUCUGAAAAUGCUUCCGCUUGAAGAUGAGCUUGCGUCUGAUUAGCUAGUUGGUGAGGGUAAAGGCCCACCAAGGCGACGAUCAGUAGCCGGUCUGAGAGGAUGAACGGCCACAUUGGGACUGAGACACGGCCCAGACUCCUACGGGAGGCAGCAGUGGGGAAUCUUCCGCAAUGGGCGAAAGCCUGACGGAGCAACGCCGCGUGAACGAAGAAGGUCUUAGGAUCGUAAAGUUCUGUUGUUAGGGACGAAGGGUAAGAAUCAUAAUAAGGUUUUUAUUUGACGGUACCUAACGAGGAAGCCACGGCUAACUACGUGCCAGCAGCCGCGGUAAUACGUAGGCGGCAAGCGUUGUCCGGAAUUAUUGGGCGUAAAGGGAGCGCAGGCGGGAAACUAAGCGGAUCUUAAAAGUGCGGGGCUCAACCCCGUGAUGGGGUCCGAACUGGUUUUCUUGAGUGCAGGAGAGGAAAGCGGAAUUCCCAGUGUAGCGGUGAAAUGCGUAGAUAUUGGGAAGAACACCAGUGGCGAAGGCGGCUUUCUGGACUGUAACUGACGCUGAGGCUCGAAAGCUAGGGUAGCGAACGGGAUUAGAUACCCCGGUAGUCCUAGCCGUAAACGAUGGAUACUAGGUGUGGGAGGUAUCGACCCCUUCCGUGCCGGAGUUAACGCAAUAAGUAUCCCGCCUGGGGAGUACGGCCGCAAGGUUGCAACUCAAAUGAAG
rnacentral:rRNA from 1 species